UACGUAGGGCGCAAGCGUUAUCCGGAUUCAUUGGGCGUAAAGAGCUCGUAGGCGGUUGGGUAAGUCACAUGUUAAAGAUCCGGGCUUAACCCGGGGAAUGCGCGUGAUACUGCCCGGCUAGAGGACGGGAGAGGGAAAUGGAAUUCCUGGUGUAGCGGUGAAAUGCAUAGAUAUCAGGAAGAAUACCAAUGGCGAAGGCAGUUUCCUGGACCGUUUCUGACGCUGAGGAGCGAAAGCUAGGGGAGCGAACAGG
rnacentral:rRNA from 1 species